GACGAACCGUGCGAACGUUAUUCGGAAUCACUGGGCUUAAAGCGCGUGUAGGCGGAUGGGAACGUCAGUCGUUGAAAUCCCCCGGCUCAACCGGGGAAUGGGCGCCGAAACGACCCGUCUGGAGGGACGUAGGGGGACCUGGAACUUCCGGUGGAGCGGUGAAAUGCGUUGAGAUCGGAAGGAACGCCCGUGGCGAAAGCGAGGUCCUGGACGUCUACUGACGCUGAGACGCGAAAGCUAGGGGAGCGAACGGG
rnacentral:rRNA from 1 species